rnacentral:rRNA from 1 species
AGGCAGCAGUUGGGAAUAUUGGGCAAUGGAGGCAACUCUGACCCAGCCAUGCCGCGUGCAGGAUGAAGGCGCUCAGCGUUGUAAACUGCUUUUAUCUAGGAAGAACGGCUGAUUUGCGAAUCAGUGUGACGGUACUAGAGGAAUAAGCACCGGCUAACUCCGUGCCAGCAGCCGCGGUAAUACGGAGGGUGCAAGCGUUGUCCGGAUUUAUUGGGUUUAAAGGGUGCGUAGGUGGUCCUGUAAGUCUGGUUUGAAAGCUGGUGGCUUAACCAUCAGAUGUGGCUGGAAACUGUGGGACUUGAAUGGGUUGGCGGUAGCUGGAACGGGUCAUGUAGCGGUGAAAUGCAUAGAUAUGACCCAGAACCCCGAUUGCGAAGGCAGGCUACUACGACUUGAUUGACACUGAGGCACGAGAGCAUGGGGAGCCAACAGGAUUAGAUACCCUAGUAGUCC